rnacentral:tRNA from 1 species
GCCGCCUUAGCUCAGUUGGUAGAGCGCUGUACUUGUAAUACAAAGGUCAUCGGUUCGAUUCCGAUAGGCGGCUCCA